CCGUGUAUUUAUAACUAUCACCAUCCAAUGGACCUCUGUACUACAACUCCCAUCUAGAGUAUGAUGGGAGUUGCAUCAUCUGAUAAAUGGGCCUUUGUACUACAACUCCCAUCUGGAGUAUGCAAUCAAGGCAAAGAGGCCGGUUCCCCCCACCACGGCAUUGCACCCGUUUUGUUUUGAUUGUGACAAAACAGGGCCCGUUGUCGUUAUCGCUAUUUCUUGGCGUUACCUGUUUACCGUGAUCAAUGGGCCGCCGCUUCGGGGAAUUGCCUCCUCUCGGAAAUGAAACAAACGGGCCGCCUGUUAAUGUUCAUUCUCCCCCGCGACAGAUUGCAAGGUUGUGCUUUUCUCUUUCUGGCUGACGUGGUUUCCAGCCAUUAAGGUUGGAACGAGGUAAUCUCCCUCUCGGCCCCAGAUUGAUUGCGUCGGAUGGUUUCAGGGGACGGAGGAGAGUGUUGUUGAUGUUGUUGCUGUUGCUGUUGUUGUUGUAAUAGAAAUGCAAAAACUACAGGUAUGUCAUUGAAGUGAUAGGUAAUUCAUUUCUAUGGAUGGAUAAAUGGAUUGAUGACUGCUAGAUCCAUCUCCAUGGAUGGAUGGAGGCAUUGAUAGAUGAUCGCUAGCUAGAUGGCUUGAUAGGUCAAUAGGUAGGUAGAUGGAUGGAUGGAGAAAUAGAUAGAUGCUUGCUAGAUCCAUCUCCAUGGAUGGAUGGAGGCAUUGAUAGAUGAUCACUAGCUAGAUGGCUUGAUAGGGUCAGUAGGUGGAUGGAUGGAUGGAUGGAUGGAUAAAUAGAUGCUUGCUAGCUCUAUCUCCAUGGAUGGAUGGAGGCAUAGAUAGAUGACAGGUAGCUAGAUGGGUUGAUGGGUCAGUAGGUAGGUAGAUGGAUGGAUGGAUAGAUAGAUAGAUAAAUAGAUGACUGCUAGAUCCAUCUCCAUGGAUGGUUGGGGCAUAGAUAGAUGAUCUCUAGCUAGAUGGCUUGAUAGGUCAAUAGGUAGGUAGAUGGAUGGAUGGAUAGAUAGAUAGAUAGAUAGAUGCUUGUAGAUCUAUCUCAAUGGACGGAUGGAGGCAUAGAUAGAUGAUAACUAGCUACAUGGGUUGAUAGGUCAGUAGGUAGGUAGAUGGAUGGAUGGAUAGAUAGAUAGAUAGAUAGAUGCUUGUAGAUCUAUCUCAAUGGACGGAUGGAGGCAUAGAUAGAUGAUAACUAGCUACAUGGGUUGAUAGGUCAGUAGGUAGGUGGAUGGAUGGAUAGAUAGAUAGAUAGAUAGAUAGAUAGAUAGAUAGAUAGAUGCUUGUAGAUCUAUCUCAAUGGACGGAUGGAGGCAUAGAUAGAUGAUAACUAGCUACAUGGGUUGAUAGGUCAGUAGGUAGGUAGAUGGAUGGAUAGAUAGAUAGAUAGAUAGAUAGAUGCUUGUAGAUCUAUCUCAAUGGACGGAUGGAGGCAUAGAUAGAUGAUAACUAGCUACAUGGGUUGAUAGGUCAGUAGGUAGGUGGAUGGAUGGAUAGAUAGAUAGAUAGAUAGAUAGAUAGAUGCUUGUAGAUCUAUCUCAAUGGACGGAUGGAGGCAUAGAUAGAUGAUAACUAGCUACAUGGGUUGAUAGGUCAGUAGGUAGGUGGAUGGAUGGAUAGAUAGAUAGAUAGAUAGAUAGAUGCUUGUAGAUCUAUCUCAAUGGACGGAUGGAGGCAUAGAUAGAUGAUAACUAGCUACAUGGGUUGAUAGGUCAGUAGGUAGGUAGAUGGAUGGAUGGAUGGAUUGCUAGAUCUAUCUCCAUGGAUGGAUGGAGGCAUAGCUAGAUGAUAGCUAACUACCUGGAUUGGUAGAUCAGUAGGUAGGUAGAAGGAUGACUGCUAGAUCUUUCUCCAUGGAUGAUAGCUAGCUAGAUGGGUUGAUACGUCAGUAGGUAGGUAGAAGGAUGGAUGGAUGACUGCUAGAUCUUUCUCCAUGGACGAUAGCUAGCUAGAUGGGUUGAUAGGUCAGUAGGUAGGUCAGUGGAUGGAUGGAUGGAAGAAUGAAUAAAUAGAUGAUUGUUAGAUCUAUCUCCAUGGAAGAAUGGAGGCAUAGCUAGAUGAUAGCUAGCUAGGUGGGUUGAUAGGUCAGUAGGUAGGUAGGUAGGUAGGUGGAUGGAUAGAUAAAUGGAUAGAUGCUUGCUAGAUCCAUCUCCAUGGAUGGAUGGAGGCAUAGCUAGAUGAUAGCUAGCUAGAUGGGUUGAUAGGUCAGUAGGUAAGUAGAAGGAUGAAUGGAUGACUGCUAGAUCUUUCUCCAUGGACGAUAGCUAGCUAGAUGGGUUGAUAGGUCAGCAGGUAGGUAGAAGGAUGGAAAAAUGAAUAAAUAGAUGAUUGCUAGAUCUAUCUCCAUGGACGAAUGGAGGCAUAGCUAGAUGAUAGCUAGCUAGGUGGGUUAAUUGGUCAGUAGAUAGGUAGGUGAAUGGAUGGCUGGACUGGUGGCCCCCCAAAAAUCUAUGGGACUGAACGGGAAGGCUAUUUGAGAAGACAGAUAGAGAAACUGGAGCAGAAAAUGUCUCUUCCCCCCUCCUUUUCCCCAAAAGCUCAUGGGAGGUUUUUAAGUAGCUGUCGGAAAAGCCUUAAUGGCGUCUUCCUUCCUUUCUUUGUUUUCUUUUAUUCCCCACUCCUGAUUUUUCCCCCUUCCCUUUCAUCCCUUUAAUGCAACUGGAAAGCGUUUGUCGUUUUCUCGUUGAACAUUAGCGCUUGGCCGGCUGCCUUCUGAGCAAGAUCGUGACGGGUUGGUGAGAAUUGUGUUCAGCAAAGCGUUGGUUUGAUAGUUUUUUGCGUUGCCUUGAGUUCGAAAAAAGAGUGGAGCUUCAGAGACUACUCCGUUGUGUGGUUUUUGAAUUGCCUUGCCUUUGGAGGAAGGAAGGAGGGAGAAUCAGCCUCAAAUGGGGGUGCGACUAUUAUGUGAGGAAAACAAAAAAAAAUGCAAUUUCGGCACCCAGAAAAUGGGUUGUGACUAUUAUGUGAGGAAAACAAAAAAAAAAUUCAAUUUCGGUACCCAGAAAAUGGGUUGCGACUAUUAAGUGAGGAAAACAAAAAAAACUGCAAUUUUGGCACUCAAAAAAUGGGCAUGCGACUAUUAUGUGAGGAAAACAA